UGGGGAAUAUUGGACAAUGGGCGCAAGCCUGAUCCAGCAAUGCCGCGUGGGUGAAGAAGGCCUUCGGGUUGUAAAGCACUUUUAUCAGGAGCGAAAUACUACCGGUUAAUAACCGGUGGGGCUGACGGUACCUGAGGAAUAAGCACCGGCUAACUUCGUG
rnacentral:rRNA from 1 species